UAAAGACUCUCGGCAACGGAUAUCUCGGCUCUUGCAUCGAUGAAGAACGUAGCGAAAUGCGAUACUUGGUGUGAAUUGCAGAAUCCCGUGAACCAUCGAGUCUUUGAACGCAAGUUGCGCCCAAAGCCAUUAGGCCGAGGGCACGCCUGCCUGGGUGUUGCAC
rnacentral:rRNA from 1 species